UACGGAGGGUGCGAGCGUUAAUCGGAAUGACUGGGCGUAAAGGGCGCGUAGGCGGUUAGUGAAGUCAUGUGCGAAAGACAUGGGCUUAACCUGUGGGUUGACGGAUGAAACUGACUAACUAGAGAGCAGGAGAGGUAAGCGGAAUUUCCGGAGUAGCGGUGAAAUGCGUAGAGUUCGGAAGGAACGCUAGUGGCGAAGGCUGCUUACUGGACUGUGUCAGACGCUGAGGCGCGAAAGCGUGGGUAGCAAACAGG
rnacentral:misc_RNA from 1 species